rnacentral:piRNA from 1 species
UGGUACACUUCGAUUUUCCUGGGGUGCGG